GUCGAGAGGCAGAGGGGAUUCUAGUGCAUUGGGAAACGAAGCCUUAAGUAUAGGUGCUGGAGUAAUUGGUUCCUUCCUCUCCUCAGUAUUGUUCUUUUCUGGCUUAGUUAGUACUGCUUGUUCUAUUUGUUGAGUUUUCUCUGGCUGGUUUAAAACUAUCCUGCUUCUAAGGGUCAUUACAGAUUUCGCAUGUUUGGGAUAGGUUUCAGAGCCAAUGGAGCUCUCAGCCAUUUACUGUCCUUUCGGGUUACUGAUUGGUUGAUUGAGUAAUUUGCCUUCUUCCCUCCUAUUGAAAGCUAUUGCUAGUUGAUCUAUCUGGAUCUCUAGUUUUGCUAUUGAUUGUGUAUGGGUAUAAAGGAGUUGGGUGUUC
rnacentral:lncRNA from 1 species